GAUGAACGCUGGCGGCGUGCCUAAUACAUGCAAGUCGAGCGAACAGAUGAGGAGCUUGCUCCUCUGACGUUAGCGGCGGACGGGUGAGUAACACGUGGAUAACCUACCUAUAAGACUGGGAUAACUUCGGGAAACCGGAGCUAAUACCGGAUAAUAUAUUGAACCGCAUGGUUCAAUAGUGAAAGACGGUUUUGCUGUCACUUAUAGAUGGAUCCGCGCCGCAUUAGCUAGUUGGUAAGGUAACGGCUUACCAAGGCGACGAUGCGUAGCCGACCUGAGAGGGUGAUCGGCCACACUGGAGCUGAGACACGGUCCAGGCUCCUGCGAGAGGCAGCAGUAGGGAAUCUUCCGCAAUGGGCGAAAGCCUGACGGAGCAACGCCGCGUGAGUGAUGAAGGUCUUCGGAUCGUAAAACUCUGUUAUUAGGGAAGAACAAAUGUGUAAGUAACUAUGCACGUCUUGACGGUACCUAAUCAGAAAGCCACGGCUAACUACGUG
rnacentral:rRNA from 1 species